AUCAACGCCUCUGUCCCUUCCCUUGUCAACUUCUUUAUUUUGAGAAAACCUCGUAGCUUUUGCGCCUUUCAAUCAAAAGAUGUUGCACCAUUUUUAUGUAAGUAAUGUCUUUCUUUCCUCUUUCUUGAUGACUCGUGAAUCUUCAAUAUCUCAGUCAAAAUCUCACCGGGUAUAACUUGAAGCAUAUCACUGAAUAAUCAUAUGAAGAUUGAAUCUAUCCAAAAAGCUUCAACGAUAAAAUUCAAACGACUCUAUUUGAAUUCUUUUGAAAUCCGAAUUUCAAAUGCCUACCCAAAGGAACCAAAAACCCUAAUUUUACACCUAUAAAUACCAGACUUUAUGGCUAUUUUCACCACCCGGAGGAACCGCCUCUUCCACCCUAAACUCACUGCUCUUAUUUCCUCUAAAUAUAUCUAUGUUUCUGUUCGGCAUAGCUAUAGCCGAAGCUUUAACAUAUUUUCCAAAUUAUAUCUGAGUUUACGAUUUUGUGGGAAUAGCCUUUGACAAGCGCUCUAGUUCACUGCGCCGCAAAAAGGUCAGUGAUUUUUUCUUCAUAUUCCUUUUGAAAUUUUUAAAGUUUGGAUGUUAAUGUAUGAUACUGCCUUUGUUAGAAUUGUGGCUUUGAGUUUGCUUUCCUGUAAAUUGAUGUGUUAAAUAUUAUAACCUAAAUUUUAUGUUGUAAAGGAGGAAAUAAACCAUGCCUAUAAGUAGAAGUCAGCUAUGUGCUUAAUUUAAAAGAUUGUGUUUUUUAGAAACCAUGAUUCUAGUUAUAUCUGAAGUUAUAUUAAUAGCAAGUUAUUGUCUCUUUGCUUAGUAAUAGUCACUGUUAACUACUGCACAGAUGUAUUUAUUUGCCCAUAGUCAAAGAUCAGGUAGAAACCAUGAAUUAGGACUUAUUUCCAUUAAGUAUAUUCUGGUCGUAACAAAGCCUGAGAAUUUGUUCCAUUUGAGUUGUAUCUUUCAAUAGAGUAAACUACUUUUCAAUCUGAAGAACUCUUCAUUCUAAUUAAAAUGACUACCAACGUAAUAUAGAUGUUGAGGCUCAUGUACUCUCGUGUAAAAGAAUGAACAUCUAGCAUACUUCUCGCUAAUCUUUGGUAUCAUUUAGUUUGCUUAUAUCAUUCAGUGAUUUGCUCUUAUUAGGAAUCAUGUGUUAAGAAUAUUUAGUUGUUGUCUACACUUUAGGAAUCAUGGGAUUAUAUUUCUGUUGUGAUCUUUAGAGUUCACUUUUAGCAUAGUUAAACUCUUAAGGUGAAUGUGAUCAAGCGGGUUUGUAAUGAUACGUAUAGUUUGUUUAAUGUGCAUAGCUUAAAGAAUAUUUAUAUAUUUAUUUAUCUUUAUUUGAAACUACUACUCCGUUUACACGCGUAAUUGCUGAAAAAGAAUCAUACUUUGCUAAAUGUUUGAUUUGUUCUCUGGAACAUAACUUAUCUCUAUUUGAAGCUAAAUAACUAUAACUAAGGUGUUUAACAUACAAUUGGUACUUUUUGGCUUUAAAAUUAAAGAUAGCAUGAUUCUUUAGGAACCUCAUGAAGAAGGUUCAGUAAUGUGAGUUUAUUUGCUGAUAUAAUCACGUUUGAUUGUUUCAGUAAUCUUUAGUUCUUUACUUUUCUGUUGAACAUAAGAUUUCCCCUCUAAUCUUUUUCUCUAUUUCUUUGUCUUGCAUAUGCACUUGGAGCAAAAAUGAAGUCUCACUCGAUAGCGAGACUCUCCAUACCCGAACAUGGAGUCACACUACAUAGCAUCUUGACCGGGAUAGCGACAAGACAAGCAAAUAUGCUUGGGGUGC
rnacentral:lncRNA from 1 species